rnacentral:rRNA from 1 species
CAGCAGCCGCGGUAAUACGUAGGUGGCGAGCGUUGUCCGGAUUUAUUGGGCGUAAAGGGAGUGUAGGCGGUCUUUUAGGUCUGAUGUGAAAGCCCACGGCUCAACCGUGGAGGGUCAUUGGAAACUGGGAGACUUGAGUGCAGAAGAGGAGAGCGGAAUUCCAUGUGUAGCGGUGAAAUGCGUAGAUAUAUGGAGGAACACCAGUGGCGAAGGCGGCUCUCUGGUCUGUAACUGACGCUGAGGCUCGAAAGCGUGGGGAGCAAACAGGAUUAGAUACCCGUGUAGUCCCUGUCUCUUAUAA